AUCCAGCUGACGAGUCCCAAAUAAGAUGAAAGGCGAGUUCUGUAU
rfam:Schistosoma margrebowiei strain Zambia genome assembly, scaffold: SMRZ_contig0005578